UACGAAGGGGGCGAGCGUUGUUCGGAUUUACUGGGCGUAAAGGGCGCGCAGGCGGCUUAUUUUGUCAGGCGUGAAAGCCCCGGGCUUAACCUGGGAACUGCGUUUGAUACGGAUGGGCUAGAGUACUAAAGAGGAUCGCGGAAUUCCCGGUGUAGAGGUGAAAUUCGUAGAUAUCGGGAGGAACACCGGUGGCGAAGGCGGCGAUCUGGGUAGAUACUGACGCUGAGGUGCGAAAGCGUGGGGAGCAAACAGG
rnacentral:rRNA from 1 species